AUACUUACCUGGACGGCCGUCAUCAAUGACUGAUCAUAAAGUGUCAUCAUGGCUACCUCUUAUCUCACCAUAUAAUGUGUCAUCAUGGCUUAGACUAGUAAUCUCCAUUGCACUUUUUGGAGGGGUGCAAGUCUAAGGUUUCCUUAAAUGGGAGAACCUACCUCAUAAUUCAUUUUUUCUUUGUUCUAAGUUCUCUUUAGUAAUC
rnacentral:snRNA from 10 species